UACGAAGGGGGCUAGCGUUGCUCGGAUUGACUGGGCGUAAAGGGCGCGUAGGCGGUUCGUACAGUCAGACGUGAAAUUCCUGGGCUCAACCUGGGGGCUGCGUUUGAUACGUGCGGACUUGAGUGCGGAAGAGGGUCGUGGAAUUCCCAGUGUAGAGGUGAAAUUCGUAGAGAUUGGGAGGAACACCAGAGGCGAAGGCGGCGACCUGGACAAGCACUGACACUCAACUGCGAAAGCGUGGGUAGCAAGCAGG
rnacentral:rRNA from 1 species